rnacentral:rRNA from 1 species
GAUGAACGCUGGCGGCGUGCCUAAUACAUGCAAGUCGUGCGAACAGACGAGUAGCUUGCUCCUCUGACGUUAGCGGCGUACGUGUGAGUAACGCGUGGAUCACCUACCUAUAAGACUGGGCUAACUUCGUGAAACCGGAGCUAAUACCGGAUAAUAUCUUCAACCUCAUGGUUCAAUAGUUACAGCCGGUUUUGCUGUCACUUCUAGCUGUAUCCUCGCCGCAUUAGCUAGUUGGUAAGGUAACGGCUUACCAAGGCAACGCUGCGUAGCCGACCUGAGAGGGGGAAGGGCGACACGGAAACUGAGACACGGUACAGAGACCGACGGGAGGCAGAAGUAGGGAAGGGACCGAAAUGGGCGAAAGACUGAAGAAGAAACGCAGCGUGAGUGAAGAAGGGCUGCGGAUCGGAAAACUCUGUUAUGAGGGUAGAACAAAUGUGGAAGGAACGAUGCACGUCGUGACGGUACCUAAUCAGAAAGCAACGGCUAACUACGUG